GACGAACGCUGGCGGCGUGCUUAACACAUGCCAGUCGAACGGAAAGGCCUCUUUCGGGGGGUACUCGAGUGGCGAACGGGUGAGUAACACGUGAGUAACCUGCCCUUGACUUUGGGAUAACUUCAGGAAACUGGGGCUAAUACCGGAUAGGAGCUCCUGCUGCAUGGUGGGGGUUGGAAAGUUUCGGCGGUUGGGGAUGGACUCGCGGCUUAUCAGCUUGUUGGUGGGGUAGUGGCUUACCAAGGCUUUGACGGGUAGCCGGCCUGAGAGGGUGACCGGCCACAUUGGGACUGAGAUACGGCCCAGACUCCUACGGGAGGCAGCAGUGGGGAAUAUUGCACAAUGGGUGGAAGCCUGAUGCAGCAACGCCGUGUGCGGGAUGACGGCCUUCGGGUUGUAAACCGCUUUCGCCUGUGACGAAGCGUGAGUGACGGUAAUGGGUAAAGAAGCACCGGCUAACUACGUG
rnacentral:rRNA from 1 species